GUCUUUUCACCAGAGCAAACCCAUCGUGGCCUAAACAUAAAGAGGCCAAAAUAGGAAUAAAUCAGUUUCAAACAAUAACAGAAACCGCCUUGCGGCAGAAUUCUACAAGGCAGAACUUCAGAUAAUUACCUUGGAAACCAUUUGGCAUGUUCCACCCAAGGAUCAUCUCCAGAUUCCCAGCAUCUCAAUCCACCAUCACAGCAAAAGCAUUUGACAUCAUCAUUGCAACCUAACAACAAAAGUUUCUUACCCACAUAAUAAAAGCCAGCACUUGCAAGCUGCUCUGGAUGAACUGGAAUUUGAGGUGGCCAGGUCACAAAGGUUUUCAUACGGG